GUCCAUGAGACGCCAUCUUAAUAAAGGGGAACUUCCUCCUAUAACAAACUUCACUGGUUAUAAAUGGCCUGUGCAGCGUCGAUAUGAGUCAGAAAAAUUAAUUAUAGUGUCAAAAUUGACUACAAAAUGUAAAUAAGAUAAUUUUGGUCAUAAAGUCAGCCUCAUCCAAAACGAGAUUUGGAAAUGAGGGCGUCAUGAGUAGUAUGGGUUGGGUAUGGAUUAUUUACAUAUACAUGCCCACUUUUGCUAAUGAUGUCCAAUUUGCAAAGAGACAACAAGGUGUGGUCCACCCCCAGCUGCCAUGUGUUGUGAACAUGUUGGCUUCCAUAAAGUUGGUGCAAACUUCUAACACGUUCAACAAUGUUUCGCAAGAUGGCAAGGAAUGUAUUACAAACAACAAACGUAUGACACUGUGGCUGUGUGUGGGAACGAAGAAAAACUCAGAGGGGGCAUGAGGAUACCGUUUUGCAGGAAGAAGAGCAGAGGAAGGACCCAGAGUUUUCCAAGCUGGAGUUUUGAAGCUGAAAGAUAAGGAUGUUUGUGCCCAGCAUGAGAAAGCAGGAAUCUUCUCAAUGAGAUUCGCGCCGGUAAAUGUGAAGGACACAAGUAGAAGACGAUCGAGAUGCAGCCUGAAUCGUAUUGGUGUACUCUGUUGGCUGAGGAGUCCUAAACCUGGGUGAGCUGGGCUGAGUUGGGCUAGGUUUGGCUUGGCACUGAGCCCAGAAUCAAAGCUACCGUUUGUCAA